UCCUACCCAAGAAUUUUUUUGAAAUGUAAAUUGCAUUUCCACAGCUUCUACAACUGAGUUAGAUGUGCGGUUUUGAGAAAAGGCAGAAAUAAUCACAUAGUGAUUUGGUGUGUGUGGUGGGUUGCACUGAAAUUUACAUUUUCUUAUAAUACAGGUGUAGUUUAAUUAGUUUUUGAAAUCAACAGAAGAGAGGAAAAAUCAGGAAAAUGUAUGGUAUUUUCAAUUCGUUAAAGCUGUUUUGAGGAUGAAAAAAUAUUUAAGAGGAUUUUUUUUUUGCAAAUAAUUGUAUAAAAAAUACAGUAAUUUAUUUCUGGUAUAGGAAUUUGAAGAGAACAAGGACAAACAAGAAAAUCAAACUGCAAACAGAGACAUACUGAAACCUCAUGUCACUGAUAGUGCCCUAUUUCAGGCUUCAAACUCUCCCACACAUCUGGUGAAAAAUAACUGCAGGAACCCUGUGAUGGGUUGCUACUGGUUUGCCCCAGUUUGGAUGAACCGGUAGCAGCGGCGGCAGGAGGGUGCGCCCACCCGCCCGGGCGUCAUCAAAUACGAUAUGUGCAUGCGCAGAACCGGUAGCAAAGCAGAGACUGGAAUGACUGCUGUUGUGUCAUCACCCGCAACAUAGCACUGAAGAAGUUGUGGGGGGAGAAAGCAAGGUGUCAUUCUUUAUAUUCCUGCAAAUAAUGACAGUUUAAAUGAUAAUGUAAUAUAUCAUCCUCCUAACAGUAUAAUUAUCUACACUCCCUUGUAGAUAAUUAUUCUGGGAUAAUUGUCAGCUUCUUGAAAAGUUUUUACGACAGAUUACAUAUGUUUUGACUUUAGUACAAAUUACCAUUAAAUGAUUUAACUAAAGUGUUUGUAGGUAGUGAGUUCAGCUGACACAAAAUUUAAAAUGUAGAUAACACUGGAGCAAUCUAAAUCUAAUCAGGUUAUAGAAAACAUUAAUCAAUACAUAUUGCCUAGUAUUAAGCUGCUCUCAUUAAAAAUGACAGCCUUCACACGAGACAUAACUUUAAAUAUCUAUUUUGUAGGAGCUCAGUCCCACAUGCAGUUACAACACUUCAAUAUGGAUAGGUUACUUUUCUACUCAGAAAAAGUCACACUAAUGCAGAAUUUCUAUCUGCUGCAAUAUAUACCAAUCAAAUAUUGCUAUAUUGUGUCUGUAUUCCAGUCUUUAAUUGUUUUUCUUCCAUGUUUCUGAGUCAACAUAUAUAUUUUUUUACCCCAUGCAGCUUAACUAUGUUUAAUAACAAUUUGGUUUGCUGUUGCCAUAUUUAUGUGUUGUAACUGAUUUUGCCCAAGGAGCUUCUGUGAAUGAAUAAAAAUCCUUUUGCAAAUGGAUAAGGCCCUCUAGCUGCCACUUUGCAUACACAACAUGGUUCCAAAUUCCUAAAGAUAUCCAUCAUCUGAUCCCUCCAAGUUGGGAGCUCUUGACCCAGGGGUGAAAUCUACUUACCUCCCCAACCGGUUCAGAAAUGCACAUGCCACGCAGACCCUCUGUGCAUGCAUAAAUCCUUCUGCGCAUGCGCAGAGGAUAAAAACAGGUUACUUCCUGGUUAAAAUAACGACUGGGUGGGUAGGUGGAGCCUCACACCGCCAUCACUAGCGGUUCUCCGAACCACUGGCCACCAUCACUACCGGUUCCCCAAACCACUGGCUGCCAUCACUACCGAUUCUGCGAACCACUGGCCGGCAUCACUACCGGUUCUGUGAACCACUGGCCGCCAUCGCUACCGAUUCUCUGAACCACUGGCCGCCUUUAUUACCAGUUCUCUGAACCACUGGCCGCCAUCACUACCGA